rnacentral:rRNA from 1 species
AUACGGAGGGGGUUAGCGUUGUUCGGAAUUACUGGGCGUAAAGCGCACGUAGGCGGACUGGAAAGUUGGGGGUGAAAUCCCGGGGCUCAACCCCGGAACUGCCUCCAAAACUUCCAAUCUAGAGAUCGAGAGAGGUGAGUGGAAUUCCAAGUGUAGAGGUGAAAUUCGUAGAUAUUUGGAGGAACACCAGUGGCGAAGGCGGCUUACUGGCUCGAUACUGACGCUGAGGUGCGAAAGCGUGGGGAGCAAACAGGAUUAGAAACCCUAGUAGUCC